GCACUGAAUCCCGCCGUUGUAACGGCGGCGGGAGAUGUGGUGUUCGGGAGGUUCCGCUUUCUUGUCGUCGUCCACUCCUGUCCAAGUUCGUCUUGAACGGGGCCCAUUUCCCACAGAGGGUGCCAGGCCCGUAGCGACGGAGGACGGCGGCGAGAGGAACUCUCCUCAGAGUCGGGUUGCUUGAGAGUGCAGCCCUAAGUGGGUGGUAAACUCCAUCUAAGGCUAAAUAUUACCGCGAGACCGAUAGCGAACAAGUACCGU
rnacentral:rRNA from 1 species